GAGAACUAAAGCGACCCAGGGUGCAGCGGGCGCGGCUCCGGGCAUGCGCGGCGACUUCCCGCCGAGCGCCCCGCGGCCACGGUUGUGCUCCGGUCGCCGCCAGGCUCCCGGAGUACCGGGGCCGACCGCGGAGGUACUACUGCAUGAGCACUUGUACUAUGAAGUACUAUAUAUUUUGUAGCUUGUGGAAACCAGUCAAGUAGUCAGAAGUUACAGACCAAGGAAAAUUAAUAAAAGAGAAAAAAGAGUAUAUUGUUGACUUACGGUGCGUUUAUUUAGUUGGCACAUCAAAAAUUUCAUUUAAGAAGUCAGAAUUUUCAUCAAAAGGUCGUGUGUUAUAUGGCUGUGCAAAUAUGGGUUCUCAAGAUGGGAGAGAACAAAAGGAUGAAAAUGAGUCUCCAAAGAGAUGUCAUAUAAAUCCGGAUGAAGAAUGUGGCAAGGACAAGCCCCCUGAGGGAAGGAAGAGGGACAGAAAACGGGACAAUGUCUACAAUGAAGAAUGGCUAAUAGUGACAGAAACUGUGUUCACCCAGGAAAUGUUCAGAACCUCCGUGAACUGUCAUUCACCCAAAAGUGAGGCUAUCAAGUGUGGUAGGAAACAAACCUUAAUCCAAGCACUUAGGAGGGAGAGUAAACGGAUCUCCACGAGUUCAAGACCCGCUUACUCUUCAUACUGAGCUCCAGGCCUGCCAAGGCUACAGCAGGAAGAAA